UACGUAGGGUGCGAGCGUUAAUCAGAAUUACUGGGCGUAAAGCGUGCGCAGGCGGUGCUGUAAGACCGAUGUGAAAUCCCCGGGCUUAACCUGGGAACUGCAUUGGUGACUGCAGCGCUGGAGUAUGGCAGAGGGGGGUGGAAUUCCACGUGUAGCAGUGAAAUGCGUAGAGAUGUGGAGGAACACCGAUGGCGAAGGCAGCCCCCUGGGCCAAUACUGACGCUCAUGCACGAAAGCGUGGGGAGCAAACAGG
rnacentral:rRNA from 1 species